UAGUAACGGCGAGUGAAGAGGGAAAAGCUCAAAUUUUGAAUCUGGUGUCUUUGACCCCCGAGUUGUAAUCUAGAGAAGUGUUUUCCGUGUCGGACCGUGUACAAGUUCCCUGGAACGGGGCGUCAUAGAGGGUGAGAAUCCCGUAUAUGCCACGGACUACCGAUACUCUGUGAUACACUCUCAACGAGUCGAGUUGUUUGGGAAUGCAGCUCAAAAUGGGUGGUAAAUUCCAUCUAAAGCUAAAUAUUGGCGAGAGACCGAUAGCGAACAAGUACCGUGAGGGAAAGAUGAAAAGCACUUUGGAAAGAGAGUGAAACAGUACGUGAAAUUGUUGAAAGGGAAGCGUUUGAAGUCAGUCGCAUCUGUUGGGAUUCAGCCUGGCUUCUGCCUGGUGUAUUUCCUUUCCGAUGGGUCAGCAUCAGUUUUGACCAAGGGAAAAAGACAUUUGGAAUGUGGCUGUCUUCGGGCAGUGUUAUAGCCUUGUGUUGUAUGUCUUGGUUGGGACUGAGGAACGCAGCGCGCCAUUUUGGCCGGGGGUCGCUCCUCUCGACACGCGCUUAGGA
rnacentral:rRNA from 1 species